GGAAUCCCACUUUGGGCCUUUUGCUGGACAUUCUUUUCCUCAGGUUCCUCUCCAUUUCCAACCCUGCAGUUCUUUCAGACAGGAACAAAUAUGGGUCAAAGUUUUCAACUGAUACCCUGUCAUCCUCCUGGAGGUGGGCUCUGAACUGAAGUCAUGAUAUGGAGCUACCAUAUUGCUUUUUAAAACAUCUAGCAGAGUCAAUGGGGUGAGCAGACCGUUGCGGCAGUCUUGACAUACACUGCAAUUUAUCUUCUGAUGUUCCUCAAAUUCUUCCAUGCAAUGUUUUUGCAGGCAUGCAGUCUUUGAAGUGAGUGGUGUUUUUCUAAUUUUAAAUAAGGUCAAUCAGUUGAGGAAUAUAAGCUUUAUAUGAGCAAAUUAAUUACAUUUACACUCCAAAAAUAAUCCAACCUGGUUGUAAUAUGAAGGACUCAUAAGGGACAAGAAUGAACAAAGGGACAAAGAGACAAGUUGAUAAACAAGUGUGGUGAAAAUAUGAGAUUAUGAUGAUGGCAGUGAGGAUGGAUUCCAGACGAAUUUGUAGAAGAGAUUCACAGGAUUCGAUGUGGAAGGCAAAGAGUGGUGAGCAGGUGACUCUCCGGAAUGAAUUUGCUGAUGGUUCCGGUUUCCUUUACGACUACUGGAUUUGGGGAGAAACUUUUACCUGAGUCACAGUUAUGACUUCUCUCGUCUGAACUGUUCAAAUGAAACCAUCUUCCUGAAAUGAUGAUGUGAGAGCUGCACACAAGUUGUACAAUACGUGAUUUAGGCUGAUACCAGAGAAUUUCUAUCUAACUCAAACUGGCCUUUCUCUGCUUCUCCCUGGAUUGCUCUCCUUGGAAAAUCUGCCCCUGAACUGAACUGCUCUGAAUUGAACUGCUCUGCUCCUGAACUGGACUGCACUCAACUGAACUGCUCUGAACUGUAGUGAAUUCAACUGACUUUAAUUGAACUGUGUUGAACUGAAUUGAACUCUCACCCUCACUGCUUUUUAAGUAGCCUCUCUUUUCUAUCUGUUCUCCAGAGAGUUGGGUGUAUCCUAUCUCUUAUUCUUUCUAUUAAAUG
rnacentral:lncRNA from 1 species